CGGAGGGUGCAAGCGUUAUCCGGAUUCACUGGGUUUAAAGGGUGCGUAGGUGGGCAGGUAAGUCAGUGGUGAAAUCUCCGGGCUUAACUCGGAAACUGCCGUUGAUACUAUCUGUCUUGAAUAUCGUGGAGGUUAGCGGAAUAUGUCAUGUAGCGGUGAAAUGCUUAGAUAUGACAUAGAACACCCAUUGCGAAGGCAGCUAACUACACGAUCAUUGACACUGAGGCACGAAAGCGUGGGGAGCAAACAGGAUUAGAUACCCUGGUAGUCCACGCCCUAAACGAUGGAUACUCGACAUCAGCGAUACACUGUUGGUGUCUGAGCGAAAGCAUUAAGUAUCCCACCUGGGAAGUACGACCGCAAGGUUG
rnacentral:rRNA from 1 species